rnacentral:tRNA from 1 species
CAGAAAAUAGUUUAUAUAAAAUAUUAGUUUUGGGGAUUAAUGAUAGAAGUGUUUCUUUUUCUGAU